UUACCCACAAGAUGGCAAGCAACUUGCCUGCUUACUGCUCCAUUUCUUCCACCAACUGAGAUCUGUAAUCUCAACAACUCUUGAACGUACAAGCCGUUAUUCUCUAACAGUCAGAGCAUAUCUCUACGAUCAUUGCUCUCUUACAAAUGGUGCGUGUUCCUGAAGAUGACAGGUACCCACCUUCAUCUGUAUAACUCUACUCUCUG
rnacentral:lncRNA from 1 species